CCACCCGCGCGAAGCCGGACCCGAGUCUACGCCAUGCGCGCGCUGUUGCCGCUGCUGCGCACCAGCGGGGCCUGGCGGGUGGGCGCCCCCGCCGCCGCCGCCCGCCUGCCGCGGGGAGCGAGCGCGGGGCCCGGGCCGCGCCGCGCCAUGGCCUUGUACCGCACGGAGGAGCGCGGCCAGCCCCACUCCCCCGGUUACCGCGUCUUUUUCAAGAAUGUAGCUGGUCACUACAUUUCCCCCUUUCAUGAUAUUCCUCUGAAGGUGGACUCUGAAGAGGAAAAUGGCAUUCCUACAAAGAGAGCACGAAAUGAUGAAUAUGAGAAUUUGUUUAACAUGGUUGUCGAAGUACCUCGGUGGACAAAUGCUAAAAUGGAGAUUGCCACAGAGGAGCCAUUGAAUCCCAUUAAACAAGAUGAAAAGGAUGGCAAGCUUCGCUAUGUGGCAAACAUCUUUCCUCACAAGGGUUAUAUAUGGAAUUAUGGUGCCCUCCCUCAGACUUGGGAAGAUCCCCAUCGAAGAGAUAGAAGCACGGACUGCUGUGGAGACAAUGAUCCUAUUGAUGUUUGUGAAAUAGGCUCAAAGGUUCUUUCUCGUGGAGAUGUUGUUCAUGUGAAGAUCCUUGGAAUUUUGGCUCUCAUUGAUCAGGGUGAAACAGAUUGGAAAUUAAUUGCUAUCAAUGUGAAUGAUCCUGAAGCCUCGAAGUUUAAUGAUAUUGAAGAUGUUAAGAAGUACAAACCUGGCUACUUAGAGGCUACGCUUAAUUGGUUUAGAUUUUAUAAGAUACCAGAGGGAAAACCAGAAAACCAGUUUGCUUUUAAUGGAGAAUUCAAGAACAAGAGACUUCCCUGCACCACCUCACUGAGCAUUAAGCCAUCUCUUUCAUCUCAGGAACAGCAGACCUGAGGGAACGUUUUCUCUUCAGAACAACUCCGUGAUUUAAAUCAGGGUUUGGCAAACUUUCUUCUGUAAAGGACCAGAAAGUAAAUAUUUUAGACCUUGUAGGCCAUAUGGUCUGAGUCACAACUACCCAGCUCUUCCAUUGUAGCGCUAACACAGUCAGAGGCUGUGUGCAAAUGAAUGGGCAUGACUGUGCUCAGUACAAUGUUAUUUACAAAAACAUGUGAUGAGCUGGGUUUGGCCCACAGACCCAGGUUUGCCAACCCUUGAUUUAGGUGAUCUUCAGUACCUUCCAUCUUAUAGAUGAAGAAAUUAAGACUCUGAAAUUAAGUAACCUGCACAAAGUCACACAGCUGGCUUUUGCUCUUGAAGUUAUUAAAUCUACUCAUGAAUGUUGGAGAGCAUUGCUUAUGGAGAAGUGUGAUGGAGGGGCUAUCAAUUGCACAAAUGUGCAGAUAUGUGACAGCCCUUUCCACUGCUCUCAAGAGGAAGCAAGAUCGUUAAUUGAAUCG